rnacentral:rRNA from 1 species
UGGGGAAUAUUGGACAAUGGGCGAAAGCCUGAUCCAGCCAUGCCGCGUGUGUGAAGAAGGCCUUUUGGUUGUAAAGCACUUUAAAGCGAGGAGGAGGCUACUUGGAUUAAUACUCUAGGAUAGUGGACGUUACUCGCAGAAUAAGCACCGGCUAACUCUGUGCCAGCAGCCGCGGUAAUACAGAGGGUGCGAGCGUUAAUCGGAUUUACUGGGCGCAAAGCGUGCGUAGGCGGCUUUUUAAGUCGGAUGUGAAAUCCCUGAGCUUAACUUAGGAAUUGCAUUCGAUACUGGGAAGCUAGAGUAUGGGAGAGGAUGGUAGAAUUCCAGGUGUAGCGGUGAAAUGCGUAGAGAUCUGGAGGAAUACCGAUGGCGAAGGCAGCCAUCUGGCCUAAUACUGACGCUGAGGUACGAAAGCAUGGGGAGCAAAACAGGAUUAGAUACCCUGGUAGUCCAUGCCGUAAACGAUGUCUACUAGCCGUUGGGGCCUUUGAGGCUUUAAGUGGCGCAGCUAACGCGAUAAGUAGACCGCCUGGGGAGUACGUCGCAAGACUAAAACUCAAAUGGAAUUGACGGGGUCAUAGCUGUUUACCUG